rnacentral:rRNA from 1 species
UACGUAGGGCGCAAGCGUUAUCCGGAAUUAUUGGGCGGAAAGAGCUCGUAGGCGGUUUGUCGCGUCUGCCGUGAAAGUCCGGGGCUCAACUCCGGAUCUGCGGUGGGUACGGGCAGACUAGAGUGAUGUAGGGGAGACUGGAAUUCCUGGUGUAGCGGUGAAAUGCGCAGAUAUCAGGAGGAACCCCGAUGGCGAAGGCAGGUCUCUGGGCAUUAACUGACGCUGAGGAGCGAAAGCAUGGUGAGCGAACAGG